UCUCUCUCUCUCUCUCUCUCAAUCUUUAAACUCGUCUAUUACAUAAUAUUAUCAGAAAAUUAAUAGAUUCAGAUUUCCCAAAGACGUAGGCAAGAAUUGGUUUGCUAAUAGAGUGGUGGAUGAGUGGAACAGGGUGGUGGAUGAGUGGAACAGUGGUGGAUGAAUGGAACAGUGGUGGAUGAAUGGAACAGAGAGGUGGAUGAAUUUAACAGAGGAGUGGAUGAAUUUAACAGACUGGUGGAUGAGUGGAACAGAAUGGUGGACGAGUGGAACAAGGUGGUGGAUGAGUGGAACAAGGUGGUGGAUGAGUGGAACAGUGGUGGAUGAGUGGAACAGAGAGGUGGAUAAGUGGAACAGAUUUGGCAGUCAUGUGGUGAGUGCCAAUACCAUAGACACAUUCAAGAAGAGGUUGGAUAAAUUCAUGGAUAGUGAAGUUAGGUGGAGUAAGAAAGAGAUGAAGAUUAGAGUAGAGGAAGGAAGUGGAUAGAGGUAGGUUGGAUAAGCUCAUGGAUAGUGAGGUUAGGUGGGGUUAGGUUCAUGGGAGCUCCCUUGUAUAGACCUACCGACCGGCCUCUUGCAGACUCCUUACGUUCUUAUGUUCUUCAGAAAAUAAAAAGGAAAGUUAAUAAAGAAAGUAAGAAGGGAGGAAGAAAAGGAAAUGAAAUGAAAGGAAAGUAAGGGAAAGAAAAGGAAGGAAGGAAAAAGAGAAAUAAAAGGAAAGGAAAGAAAAGGAAGGAAGGAAAAAAAAUAAAAGGAAAGGAAAGUAAGGGAAAGAAAAGGAAGGAAGGAAGGAGGGAAAAAAAGAUAAAAGGAAAGGAAAGGAAAGUAAGGGAAAGAAAAGGAAGGAAAAAAAGAUAAAAGGAAAGGAAAGGAAAGUAAGGGAAAGAAAAGGAAGGAAAAAAGAUAAAAGGAAAGGAAAGGAAAGUAAGGGAAAGAAAAGGAAGGAAAAAAGAUAAAAGGAAAGGAAAGGAAAGUAAGGGAAAGGAAAGGAUGGAAGGAAGAAGGAAGGAAAGAACACAAGAAGAAAGAAAGAAAUAGAAGUGAAAUGAAGAAAAAGAGGAAUAGAAAGAAAAAAAAAAGAAA